rnacentral:misc_RNA from 1 species
AAGUCGUAACAAGGUUUCCGUAGGUGAACCUGCGGAAGGAUCAUUAUUGAAUAAAUCUGGCGUGAGGUUGUAGCUGGCUCUCUGGAGCAUGUGCACACCUUCGUCACCUUUAUCUUUCCACCUGUGCACACAGUGUAGUCCUGGAUACCUCUCGCCGCAAGGCGGAUGCAGAGCCUGCUGUGACUUUGGCAACAAAGACCAGUCUUGCUCUGAAUUUCCAGGGUCUACGAUCUUUACACACCCCUAAACGAAUGUCAUAGAAUGUAUAUCACUGGGCCUUUGUGCCUAUAAACCUUAUACAACUUUCAACAACGGAUCUCUUGGCUCUC